rnacentral:rRNA from 1 species
AGCAGCCGCGGUAAUUCCAGCUCCAAUAGCGUAUAUUAAAGUUGUUGCAGUUAAAAAGCUCGUAGUUGAACCUUAGGCCCGUGCGGGUGGUCCGUCCUCUGGGCGAGCACUGCGUCGUCGCGGGUCUCACCUUCUGGCGAGCGUGGAUGCCAUUCACUUGGUGUCCGCGGGAACCAGGACCUUUACCUUGAAAAAAUUAGAGUGCUCAAAGCGGGCUCGUACGCUUGAAUACAUUAGCAUGGAAUAAUGAAAUAGGACGACGGUUCUAUUUUGUUGGUUUCCGGGACAGUCGUAAUGAUUAAUAGGGAUAGUUGGGGGCAUUCGUAUUCAAUUGUCAGAGGUGAAAUUCUUGGAUUUAUUGAAGACGAACUACUGCGAAAGCAUUUGCCAAGGAUGUUUUCAUUAAUCAAGAACGAAAGUUGGGGGAUCGAAGACGAUCAGAUACCGUCG